GGGAUAUUCCUAGGUUAUGGCUUCACCCUUUAGGGCAUCUCCAAUGGUGAUUGUUACUAAUUUUUUUCUCUCUCUCUUCUUGAGUAUACAUUUUUAAUUUUUAUUCUCUUCUCUUUCUUGAUGGACCCAAAUGUCAUCCUCUUCUUUUUUCUUGGUACCCGCGUAGAGGCUGCUACUUCUUCAAGUAACCACUACCUAUUUAUUUUAUUCAAAUCUUGUUCUCAUUGGUCUAGUAUUUCUUGCUACCCGUGUAGUAACAAUUGUUGAAGAUGCCCUUAGUAUGGUUCA
rnacentral:lncRNA from 1 species